GAGAAAUUCACAAAAUUUCGAAGAAUCAAGUGACAAAAGGUGGUGAAUCCUCCGCUAAGGGCAAAGAAAUUGUACCCGAGGAUCGGUAGUCAAAGUACUCUAGAAAUUCGACUCCAGAAAUACUUGCUGCAGUGGGCGGAAUCUGUGGACCAGCCUAUUAGAGGGGCACAAAAUCCGGUUAUAUAUGUAUCUCGGUCGGAAAGGGGUGUAGGGUAUCUCCUGAGGUAUGGUUAGAGUUCACAUCACGCCGAACCGCCUCGUGAUGAUGAACUCCG